CGUAGGGUGCGAGCGUUAAUCGGAAUUACUGGGCGUAAAGCGUGCGCAGGCGGUUUUGUAAGACAGAUGUGAAAUCCCCGGGCUCAACCUGGGACCUGCAUUUGUGACUGCAAGGCUAGAGUACGGUAGAGGGGGAUGGAAUUCCGCGUGUAGCAGUGAAAUGCGUAGAUAUGCGGAGGAACACCGAUGGCGAAGGCAAUCCCCUGGACCUGUACUGACGCUCACGCACGAAAGCGUGGGGAGCAAAACAGGAUUAGAUACCCUGGUAGUCCACGCCCUAAACGAUGUCAACUGGUUGUUGGGUCUUUACUGACUCAGUAACGAAGCUAACGCGUGAAGUUGACCGCCUGGGGAGUACGGCCGCAAGGUUG
rnacentral:rRNA from 1 species